rnacentral:rRNA from 1 species
GACAGAGGGGGCGAGCGUUGCUCGGAAUCACUGGGCGUAAAGGGCGCGUAGGCGGGCGGGCAAGUCGGUCGUGAAAGCCUGGAGCUCAACUCCAGAAUUGCCUUUAAGACUGCAUCGCUUGAACACGGGAGAGGUGAGUGGAAUUCCGAGUGUAGAGGUGAAAUUCGUAGAUAUUCGGAAGAACACCAGUGGCGAAGGCGGCUCACUGGACCGUUGUUGACACUGAGGCGCGACAGCGUGGGGAGCAAACAGG